rnacentral:lncRNA from 1 species
UAGGUAAUAUUGAAAAUAUUUUAUUUUAACAAAAUUCUGCAACUGUAAAAUGGAUGCAAUUAAUUGGAAAUAUCAAUAUUUUUGUGAUUGAUAUUUGUAUUAUAUUAAAUGUCAUUUUAAUAUUGGAAUUAAGUCAAUUUGGUUGCCUAUUGCUUCUGCUUUACCCAAUACUAAAAUGUCACCAUUGAAACUUCCAUAUUGCAUGCAAGUGUAAAAAAUUUCAAUGUUUUUAGUAAAAUCAUUUUAUACUUAAGUUGAUACUAGUAAUAAUUAGAUGUUGAAUAUCCACUUUUUAAAUCAUUUUUGAUUUAUCAAAUUUAUUGUUAUAUACUUAUACAAGGUGCUUAGUUAUUUUAUAUUAUAAUAAAAU